rfam:Blautia sp. An249 An249_contig_9, whole genome shotgun sequence.
UAAGCAGAACAGGUGGUCGCGGCUGGCCAGACGAAAGGGGCCAGGUGAGGAAAGUCCGGGCUUCAUAGGGCAGGAUGCCGGAUAACGUCCGGUGGAGGUGACUCCCAGACCAGUGCAACAGAAAUAAACCGCCUCUUUAAGAGGUAAGGGUGGAAAGGCAGUGUAAGAGACUACCGCCUGGCUGGUAACAGACAGGGCACAUGUAAACUCCAUUCGAAGCAAGACCGAAAAGAAAGCGAUACGGCGGCCCGUCGUGCUUUCAGGUGGGUCGCUUGAACCUGCUGGCAACAGCAGGUCUAGAUAGAUGACCAUCCAACGACAUAACCCGGCUUAUCGUUCUGCUUAUUAA